GGGGUUGAGCACUGCAUCUGUGUGAUAUUCUUUCAUCCCCAGCUAGGGGGUAAAAAAGUCCUACUCCCAAUAUAAGAUGAAGAAACGGGUCAGAGAUAAAUAAGUGGCCUUCAAGCCAGUGCGCUACAGAAUCAGAGAAGGACCACAACUUUCUUUGACUCCCAAGUCCAGCCCCUUUCUAAUUCUGCUUCAUCACUACCCUCCUGCCCACAACUAUGCACAUGGCCUGGGCUGUCGCCCCUCUAGCCUGACCCUCUGAUCUGAGGGUGUCGCAAGAGGCCAUGGAAAGGACUCGACCACCAGUUAACCAGUGAGCUGGACCCUGGCCAUAGGAGGCUCCACACUCCUCCCUGUCCUUGUAAAGUCGAAGUACUCUCUGUUCAUCAUUCCCACUGUGGGAGACCAUUGCAAGGAUGCAGCCAUAAGACAGCAAGAGCAAAGUGAAUCAGCUAUAUGUAUACAUAUAUCCCUUCUGUUUUGGAUUUUCCUCCCAUUUAGGCCACCACUUGAGCACAGCUCCCUGUGCUAUACACUCCACCUACCAGUCCGCAGUUCUCGCGAGAAGGAGCUCCCAAACAUGGCUGCCGCCAGUGUCUGUGUUUCUGGAAGGAGCUGCAGGCGACCCCUUACCACCUCUCCAGGAGCCUCUCCAAGACCCGCAGGCAGUAUGAUGACCACAAAUGGAUUUCAGGAUGUGGACAGUCACUGGAGACCUGAAAAGGAUGGACGAGGACCUUCAAGGAUGUACAACACAGGAAACUCUGCUCAAUGUUAUAUGGCAGCCUGGAUGGGAGAGGAGUUUGGAGGAGAGUGGAUACACAUAUAUGUAUGGCUGAGUCCCUUGGCUGUCUGCCUGAAAGUAUCAUAACAUUGUUAAUCGGCUAUACUCCAAUAUAAAAUAAAAAGUAAAAAAAAAAAAUAUUGCAAACUGACAAGGUGGGUCUGCUCCGGAGCCAUCUCUUUUCAGCCCCUGCGUGGAGCAGCUGAUAUGAUCCCAGGCGCUCCUAAAAAACCUGUGUUCUCUCUGGGUGUGGAAAUAGAGCUCUCCAGGCAGGCAGGAGUGUCUGCUGCCCAGGUGACCUAGGACAGCCCUGCCUGAUUUAUCCAGGAAACAGCUGACCCCCAUUAGGGCGCUGAUCAGCAUAGAUAGGCCCGAUGAAGGUGCGCCCUUGACACCACAGUUGGUUAACUUCUGAGCACUGGCCGACACUUCAUAGUGCUGAGCUGUGUGAGAAAGCUCUUCUUCCAGAAGCCACAGGCCCCAGAAGCUCUGCCUAGAUGGGUGACAUUUGUGUGGAUAAACCUCGAGUGGCCUUGACUCCACUCCCUGUUCAGGACUGCUUUGUCCUGAGCUGCUAAAUUUCUUCUCUCUCCUCUCCUAGGAGAGGAUGAUUAGCAUCCGUCCACUUCCAUUUCUGUCCCCUCAGACCCCAAAUGGCACAGAAACAACCCCUCAGAAGUAAUGACAAAUGUAAGGGUGACCCACCCAGCCAGGGUAUUGUGAAUGGGAAGCUUAGUAUCUCAAACCCACAUCGUUGUUAUUUAC
ensembl:lncRNA